rnacentral:siRNA from 1 species
UUAUCCUUAAGGUUUCACGUUUA